AACGUUGGCGGCAUGGAUUAGGCAUGCAAGUCGAGCGAGAAGCUUUAGUUUGACGCUUCGGUUGAUUUCUAAGGUGGAAAGCGGCGAAAGGGAGAGUAACGCGUAGUUACUUACCCCAGGGUCCGGAAUAGCUGCGGGAAACUGCAGGUAAUGCCGGAUAAUAUCUCCGGAUCAAAGGUGAGAUUCCGCCCUGGGAGGGGACUGCGUCCUACUAGCUUGUUGGUGGGGUAACGGCCUACCGAGGCUACGAUGGGUAGCGGGCGUGAGAGCGUGGCCCGUCUCACUGGGACUGAGACACUGCCCAGACACCUACGGGUGGCUGCAGUCGAGAAU
rnacentral:rRNA from 1 species